AUGACAUGGCCAUUAUGUGUGUCUCCUGUAGAUGGGGGACUGACUGAGGUCUCAUUGUGCGCCGGUGGGCGUCACUGGAAAUUCUGUGACUUCGGCAUGAGUCAUCCUCUCCAACAGACAGACAGCUGUGUGUGUGUGUCUGUGUGUGUGUGACGUCACUGUUUGUGUGCGUGCAUACACGUGUCGAUCCGUGUCUCUGUUGAUUCAGGUUCUCUCAUUACUUUGAUAUCAAAAGCCUAACGUUCAUUGGUAAUUGCCAGCUGUUGUAGCAUGUGUUGCUUGCUGUAAGUGAAAUGGGCCUAUUCAAACCAAAAGAACAUUGGGACAAUGUGUAAUCUCUGAGGAGUUUAUGUGGAAUAUGAUGCAAUCAUCAGCAACUCCUGACUAAUUUUAACAUGAAAAGUAAGAAGAUAAAUGGAUAGUGCUUGGCUAUUUCGUGUAGUGAAUGAUACUUGUUCAGUAAUAUUUCUAAAUAAGUACUGUGGGAUUGAUCGAUUUUUUUUUUACCACAUAUAACAUAUGAAAUUACGAUUACUGUUGAAUCCCAGAUUCUGGUUUGUUUUCUGGAAACUGUGAUCUCAUGACCAUAUUAGGUGCUGGCCCAAAAUAAUUUCUUGCCUCACUUCAAAUUUUAUUGGUCCGUUUUUUUAAUCCAUUGACACCCACAGAACUGUCCACGAACAAAAGAGCUCUGUGCCUUUCCUCCAUAUUCCUGCUUGUUAUUCCCCACAAGGACCUCUGUAUUCACACUGGUGAAUGUAACGGUUCUGAGACACUGCUCAGAGCAAUGGAAACUUGAGAGAGAACAGUGUUAAGAUGGCCUGUUUCACCACUCAGAGAGACAGAACUAAGCCAUGAUUCAUUGACAAAUAAGGGCUUCUGACAGGGGUUACAGUGACACUGAACUGUCUCAUUACGCACACCUGAUUCCAAUUCCCCUGAUUAGUAAUUGUAUACAUGUGCUCUCUUUUCACAAUUUUCUUGUCGGUUAUUGUUCCCAAAUUUGUGGGUCUUGUCAGUACCUGUGGUUUUGGUUUUCGUGCUGAGUGUAUUGUGUACUCGUUAUUAUGGGUCUAGUCCCGUGUAUUGUUGUGCACUUGUUAUUAUGGGUCUCAUCCUGUGUAUUUAUUAGAGGUUUUACCUCACUCUUUUGUUUGGGUUUACAGCCCUGUGUUUUUGUGUACGUGUUUGUUUUGGGCUUCAAUCCCAGUGCCUUUCAUGGCAUGUUGUAUUUUUGGGUCGAGUAUUAAAAUCCCCUUUUACGUAUUCCUGCUCCUUUCUCCAAUCAUUUAUACAGCGUGACAUUUAAUGUGACAUGUAGACUAUUUGAAAUUAUGUGCGCUUCCUACAUUCACCUUAAUGUUUAUUCAAAUACCUUUCAUUCAAAUAAUAUGAAAUCCAAAUCGCAGGUCCAGGUAGGCACAAAAACGUUGGUUAAAUUGUGAUUUUAAUGAACGGUGCGAAUUUGGAGCUGUAUUUUUUUUUUGUCCUGUGAGCGUGGAGUGAGCAGUUGGAAAGGACAUGGAGUGACUUCAUGAGCUGGAUUUCCAACCGCUCAACUCCGAUCACAUACUCUGUUCCUAUGUCAUAAAACAGUUUGAGUUUGUUGAAGAGGUUGUGGAAGAAGGAUGAGAGGAGAGUGCCAAGCAGCAUGCUGCUUCUGAAGCUCACAGUGCUGAAAAGGGUGUGGCUUGUGCUCUGCUUUCUUUCCCCUAGACACUUCUCACCCACUCAAUCUAGCCUUUUUGUCUCCCUUUCUCCUUAACUAGGUUUAUGCUAAUUCCACCAGUCUAUUCUAUUCCUGUAUUCCCUCCUCCUACACCAUUAUCCCUCCCCUCUCCUCUGUCUCAUAGAAGGUAGGGCUGCAGGGAGUCUUAGUAGAAAUAGCAGACUAGGGCUAGGUUCUUUGCCGGAAACACACAUGUCAGAGGGCUGUGUCUGCUCUUUGCUGCUGUAGCUCCAGUAGACGGCAUCCAUGCCAUGUUCUGACACAGAGAAAGGGUUUCUCGGCUGCUGCACUGUGGCUGGCCAUCUCUGACCACUGGCUGUGCAGCCUGAGGAGAGGAGAUGAGCUCAUUCCUAAAGCUGCUGCUGACUCCAUUCAUAUACUAAACAUGGCUGAAAUACACGACGGUGUCCAAAUACCAAUACUUUCGUCCUAAAAAGUAGGCUGUUUUUGUGUAUGUGACAAUUUGAAAAUCAAAUACUCUUGAAAUGCCUGGAUGUCAUACUCAUUUCUGAUUUGACGACCGUUGAUAAUCUGCUGUCAAUUAGAUAUGGUGAUGCCCAACUGAAAUGAACGAAUAGCGGGAACAACGCAAUGACGCAUUCGCUGCACACUUUGUGAAUUUCACAGACACAAUGCAUUGGAAGUGGAGGGGCUGCAAGUUUUGAGUAAAUAACUUGGAAGAUGGCGAAUAGCAAAGCUUCUACGGUGGUGUUCAAAUGAUCUACGUGAAGGAGUGUGAGCUGGAGGGGCCACUACCUGCAUGAGUGAAAAAGAAGUGGGAGAACCUUAAG